GUCUACAUGCAAGAAAUAUGUAGUCUGGCCUGCCCACUGCACACGUAAAGGGCCGCGGUAAUCUGACCGUGCGAAGGUAGCAUAAUCGAUAGUCUCUUAAUUGGGGGCUGGAAUGAACGGUCGAACAAGAGGUAGUCUGUCUUUUUUCUAAAAAUUGAAUUUAACUUUUAAGUGAGAAGGCUUAAAUUUUCUAGGGGGACGAUAAGACCCUAUAAAACUUUAUAAAGUUGAAAGUGAUUCUAUAAUUUGGGUUAGAUACGAAUCAUUUUUUACUUUAUUGCGUUGGGGCGACGGAAAUAUAAGUUGUAACUGUUUAUAGAUUGAAAUAGAUGUAUUUAGGAAAGUUGAUCCUUUACUAUGGAUUAUAAGAGUAAGUUACUUUAGGGAUAACAGCGUAAUUCUCUUUAAGAGUUCUUAUCGACAAGAGUGGUUGCGACCUCGAUGUUGAAUUAAAGUUACACCACGGUGCAGCAGCUUUGAGUGUGGGUCUGUUCGACCUUUAAACCUUU
rnacentral:rRNA from 1 species